rnacentral:lncRNA from 1 species
CAAUAUUUUCAUGAAUUGGCGUUUGAUGAUGUGUGUUAAAACUCAAUACCAAAUGCAGUGUCACGUAGAUUUUCUUUUAGAUUUUUUAUAGUUUUGCAUUUCAAAUUACAGUCUCUGGACUAUUUUGAGUAGGUUUUUGUUUUUUAAUUUGUGUAUAUAUUCAUUUCAUUUUACACGGCUUCCAAAGUCGUCCAUCACCAUUUUGGGAAGGAUAUGGCUACAGUGCGCUUCAUUUUGGUUUGAAUUUCCAAAAUUAUUACAUUGAACAAACUGAAUAUUGAAUUUUAUAGGUAUUUUAGGACAGCCAGGAGUGGGUGCACAUCCGCUGAGAAACUGUGAGGAAAAGCAUCUGUGCUGAGCUCUGGCACCACAGAGGUCGCACAAACCCACCCCUGACCAGCUUCGCUCUGAGGUGCCAGAAGCAGCGAGGAGCUUCGACUUCCUCAGGGCAGCACGAGGGUUGUGUCAACUAAGUCUUGUUCAUUGCUACCAGGAAGGAUGCAUCAUGAUACACAGUGCCACCUUUGCCUGGUUCCAGGAAAGCCCUCCCUGCCUCCACAGGAGGCCUGGGUGCAGAACACCUCUGUGGUGGAGAAAGUAUGCCUCGGGCAGGAGCUGGACCCAGCCUGGCUGGAGAGAGUCCUAGAGGCCUGUGCCCUGCGGCGACAUGUGGACAGCUUCCCUGCGGGAGUCCACACUUCAACUGGGGAGCAGUCAGAAGACAUCGUCAGCUAAGUAGCAAAAGUAAUAUGAUCAUCAUUGCUUGAACAUUUACAUCAAAACUUGUGGAAUGGGUGUUAGAGGCAUGGAAGAAAAUUCUGGAGAAAAUAGUGGUGCACUCUUAAUAAAGGCUGAACAACAGUUGAUGAUACAGGAAACAGUACUGCAUGAAGAAGGGUGGACAUGGAUGACUCUUAGUCAAAAAAUGACUCAGGUAAGUCAAACUGAAUUCAAGGAAGGUUGAUGAAUAAUUUAGCCAAUUCACUUUUCCCUAGUUUGAUUGAGGAAUAAUUUACAUUCAAUAAAAUUUACCUAUUUUAAGUGUAACAUUUAGUAAGCUUUGGAAUUUACAUACAGUUAUGUAUCUGUGACCAUGAUCAAGAUAUAGAACAUUGCCAGAAGUUCCUCAUGGCCCUUUGCAGUGAGUGCCUUCUUCCAAUUCUCAAGUCUAGGCAACCAUGUAUCUAGUUUCAGUCACUAUGGUUUUACCUUUUCCAGAAUUUAGUAUUGGUGAAAUAAUAUAGUAUAUAGUCUUUUGUGUUUGUCACAAUCUUCCGUUUGUUUGAGUAAUUACCUAGAUUGUUGUAUUGUAAGUAUAUGUCUAACUUUAUGAGACAAUGUCAAAUUAUUUUCUAUAUGGUGUGAUAUGUUGAUCAAGAUUAGCUUUUUAAAAAUAUGGAUUUAGAAUUAUCCCAGCAGUAUUUGUAAAAAACUAUCCUUUCUCCAUUUGAUUAUAUUAAAAUUUUUGGUUCUACAUCUGGACUGUCUCUGAUUUAUGUGUCUGCAUUUUUUUUUAUCAGCAGUACACCAUCUUAAUUACUGUAGUAUUGAAAUUGGGUAUUGUGAAUUCUUCAACAUUGCUAUUAUAAUUCUUUCUCAAAAUUCUUUCUUUUUUUUUUUUUGAGACAGUCUUGUUCUGUCGCCAGGCGCCAGGCUGGAGUGACAGUCUCGGCUCACUGCAACCUCCGCCUCUUGGGUUCAAGCAAUUCUCCUGCCUCAGCCUCCCGAGUAACUGGGACUACAGGUGCACGCCACCACACCCAGCUAAUUUUUGUAUUUUUAGUAGAGACGGGGUUUCACCAUGUUGGCCAGGAUCUCCAUCUCUUGACCUGGUGAUAUGCCCACCUCGGCCUCCCAAAGUGCUGGGAUUACAGGCGUGAGCCACUAUGCCCGGCCUUCUCAAAAUUCUUUUGGCUAGUCUUAGUCUAUUGACUUUCCAUCUGAUUUUGGAAUCAGCUGAUAAAUUUCUACAAAAAUCUAUAUUUUUUAUAACAGAGUACAAAUAGAGUUUGUAUAUUUUUUAUAAGAGUAUAAAUGGAGUUUGUAUAUUUUUAGAGUUUGUAUAUUUUUUAUAACGGAACACAAAUAGAGUUUGUGUAUUUUUUAUAACAGAGUACAAAUAGAGUGUGUAUAUUUUUAAUAACAGAGUACAAAUAUAUAUAGUUCGUAUAUUUUUUUAACAGUAUUUUGAGUUUGUAUACUUCUUAUAACAGUACAAAUAGAGUUUGUAUAUUUCUUAUUACAGAGUAGUUUGAGAUUUUAUAUGUUUUUUAUAACAGUACAAAUGAAAUCCUACAGACCAAAAUCCACUUUUCAGCAGGAGCAGCAGCCCAGCACCAGCGUCUUCUGGCUCCUCUGAGGGCUGCCCGCUUGGGCGAGGGGAGCCAUGCCAAGGGUCCAGGCUGCUUUAGGCCAUCUGGGCCCCACUCAUCAGGGGACAGAUGUUUUUUCUUUAUUGUAAAAUUGUGGACUUUUAAAACCUGUUGACUAAACAAUAAUUAAUUUAUAUUUGUGAAAAAUGCCACUGUCCUAGUGAUUUCUGAUGUAAAUAAUGUUUAUAUAGUAUGCAUUAAAUUUUCCUACAUUGUAAAACUGCUGUACUUUUGAUUCUUGUAUAUUGAAAAGUGUUACUGAGGAUUUUUAGAAUUGGG